rnacentral:lncRNA from 10 species
ACUGCGAAGCCCAGCUGCGCGCGCCUUGGGAUUGACUGUCCACGCUCGCCCGGCUCGUCCGACGCGCCCUCCGCCAGCCGACAGACACAGCCGCACGCACUGCCGUGUUCUCCCUGCGGCUCGGACACAUAGUAUGACCAUUAGGUGUUUCGUCUCCCACCCAUUUUCUAUGGAAAACCAAGGGGAUCGGGCCAUGAUAGCCACUGGCAGCUUUGAAGAACGGGACACCUUUAGAGAAGCUUGAUCUUGGAGGCCUCACCGUGAGACCUUACAAAGCCGGGUAAGAGUCCAGUCCAAGGAAGAGGUCUCUUGCUGCCUCCUAACCCUGUGGUCUAGGGGCAGGAGUCAGCAGGGCAUUAACAAAAAUAAUUACCAUCCCCACCCCCGACAGUGAAGUGGCUCUUUCCAGUUCACAGAGCACUCUCACACCUCCCCGCUCUCAUUCUGGCCCUUCAGCUGACUCGGACAAGCCAAGGAUCUUGGUCCCCAUUUUAUAAAGGAGAAAACUGAGGCCCACGUGUAACAGUGAUUGGCCCCAAGUCAUCCCGGGAGCCAGCAGAAGAGCUAGGACAGGAACCUAUUGUUCUAACUUCAUAUUGAUGCUAGCU